GACGAACGCUGGCGGCGUGCUUAACACAUGCAAGUCGAGCGGUAAGGCCCUUUCGGGGGUACACGAGCGGCGAACGGGUGAGUAACACGUGGGUGACCUGCCCUCAGCUCUGGGAUAAGCCUGGGAAACUGGGUCUAAUACUGGAUAUGACUCCACGGUGCAUGUCGUGGGGUGGAAAGCCUUGUGCGGCUGAGGAUGGGCCCGCGGCCUAUCAGCUUGUUGGUGGGGUGANGGCCUACCAAGGCGACGACGGGUAGCCGGCCUGAGAGGGCGACCGGCCACACUGGGACUGAGACACGGCCCAGACUCCUACGGGAGGCAGCAGUGGGGAAUCUUGCGCAAUGGGCGAAAGCCUGACGCAGCGACGCCGCGUGAGGGAUGACGGCCUCGGUGUAACGUACUU
rnacentral:rRNA from 1 species